GACGAACGCUGGCGGCGUGCUUAACACAUGCAAGUCGAACGGAAAGCGCUCUUCGGAGUGACUCGAGUGGCGAACGGGUGAGUAACACGUGGGUGAUCUGCCCUGCACUUUGGGAUAAGCCUGGGAAACUGGGUCUAAUACCGGAUAGGACCAUGGCAUGCAUGUGCUGUGGUGGAAAGCUUUUGCGGUGUGGGAUGGGCCCGCGGCCUAUCAGCUUGUUGGUGGGGUGAUGGCCUACCAAGGCUUCGACGGGUAGCCGGCCUGAGAGGGUGUCCGGCCACACUGGGACUGAGAUACGGCCCAGACUCCUACGGGAGGCAGCAGUGGGGAAUAUUGCACAAUGGGCGCAAGCCUGAUGCAGCGACGCCGCGUGGGGGAUGACGGCCUUCGGGUUGUAAACCUCUUUCACCAUCGACGAAGCCGUGAGGUGACGGUAGGUGGAGAAGAAGCACCGGCCAACUACGUGCCAGCAGCCGCGGUAAUACGUAGGGUGCGAGCGUUGUCCGGAAUUACUGGGCGUAAAGGGCUUGUAGGUGGUUUGUCGCGUUGUUCGUGAAAUGCCACAGCUUAACUGUGGGCGUGCGGGCGAUACGGGCAGACUGGAGUACUGCAGGGGAGACUGGAAUUCCUGGUGUAGCGGUGGAAUGCGCAGAUAUCAGGAGGAACACCGGUGGCGAAGGCGGGUCUCUGGGCAGUAACUGACGCUGAGGAGCGAAAGCGUGGGGAGCGAACAGGAUUAGAUACCCUGGUAGUCCACGCCGUAAACGGUGGGUACUAGGUGUGGGUUUCCUUCCUUGGGAUCCGUGCCGUAGCUAACGCAUUAAGUACCCCGCCUGGGGAGUACGGCCGCAAGGCUA
rnacentral:rRNA from 1 species